GACGGGGUGACUGAGUGGUUAAGGUGAUGGACUGCUAAUCCAUUGGGAUUUCCGCGCGUGGGUUCGAGUCCUUUUCCCGUCG
rnacentral:tRNA from 1 species